rnacentral:rRNA from 1 species
UACGUAGGGUGCGAGCGUUAAUCGGAAUUACUGGGCGUAAAGCGUGCGCAGGCGGUUUUGUAAGCCAGAUGUGAAAGCCCCGGGCUCAACCUGGGAAUGGCAUUUGGGACUGCAAGGCUUGAGUGCGGCAGAGGAGACUGGAAUUCCUGGUGUAGCAGUGAAAUGCGUAGAUAUCAGGAGGAAUACCGAUGGCGAAGGCAGGUCUCUGGGCUGACACUGACGCUCAUGCACGAAAGCGUGGGGAGCAAACAGGAUUAGAAACCCC